AGAGUUUGAUCCUGGCUCAGGAUGAACGCUAGCUACAGGCUUAACACAUGCAAGUCGAGGGGAAACGACAUCGAAAGCUUGCUUUUGAUGGGCGUCGACCGGCGCACGGGUGAGUAACGCGUAUCCAACCUGCCCAUCACUUGGGGAUAACCUUGCGAAAGUAAGACUAAUACCCAAUGAUAUCUCUAGAAGACAUCUGAAAGAGAUUAAAGAUUUAUCGGUGAUGGAUGGGGAUGCGUCUGAUUAGCUUGUUGGCGGGGCAACGGCCACCAAGGCUACGAUCAGUAGGGGUUCUGAGAGGAAAGUCCCCCANAUUGGAACUGAGACACGGUCCAAACUCCUACGGGAGCA
rnacentral:rRNA from 1 species